ensembl:lncRNA
GGCUGCUGGCGUGGGAUUGGAGAUUUUUAUGGUCCCUUUUGAGAGCCAGUCUAGUGGAAUACUGAACACAGAAUAAGCCUGAGGAAGUUCUCCAGAGCUCUGGCAUACCCUUUGAUGGGGCAAUCUGCAAAUAUUCAUUUUACAUAGGCGGCUGCCCUCCGCUUGCUUCUGCUGGGACUCCUGGCCCAGGCCGGGCAAAUUGAGGUAGGGAAGGGGCUAUUGAUUAGAGAGGUGGCAAGCUAGGCCAUGGACAAAUUUCUCUUUUAUAAAUUUGCCAAAAGCUUUUAGAUUCUCACUCAGGGUUAUAAAUCAGACCAGGAGCAGAAUGCCAGGCCACUAACCAGAAUGUCUCGGGAGAAAGAGACCCAUACCACUUAAACCAUCCUGGGGCAACUGCCGGUGACCCCACAAAUCCAACGAGAAACUUUUGGUUGCCCUGGCAAAGUUGUUUCUUUCCUGUGUUAUGUAUUUCUUAGUUCCCUAAAAAAAACCUCUUUCCCAUACUUACCAGAGGAAGUGAAGGUUCUAGUGCCAAUUCUGCUGAGCAAAUCACUAGAAGUUUUCAGAAUCUCACAUUCCUCCUCUGGAAACCAAAAGGGUCGCACUGGCUGAUUUCUCAGUUUCCUUCCGACUUUACCAUCACAGAGUGUGAACACUGGUUUUGCCUUUCUUGGUAUUCCCUGCGCCUAGCACAUUGCCUGGCCCAGAGUCAGCGCUUAACAAAUGAUUGUCGACUGACUGACUGAUUCUCGCCAGUAUCCAGAAGGACUGGCCAGCGAUAGUGGCGAGUCACCCGCAGGUGGCACUGCUCAAGGCUCUGACAGGGUUCGAGGAUUCGGGGCGCUUGCUUUCGGAGCCCCCAUGUAAGAGGAAACGAGAGCUUAAAGAAACCCAGCGACCUGGCUUUGCCCGCCAGCAAUUGCGCAAAGCCUGAGCAGUCCCGGAGAGCUGAGCCUCGGAGCGCCGGGGCUGCCGGGCUGCCCAUCGCGCCCCUGGCUGCAGCUUGGCUGAGACGCGGGAGGUGGCAGAACCUGUUGGAGUCCUCGCUGGGUAACCUCUGCAGAUCCACCCCUUUCUUCUCUCUGGCUGCCGCGAGGCGUGGGGCGGGCAAGCCGUGGCGGGAACCGAGGUCGCCCGGCCUGAGCCGGCGGCUCCCGGGGCGGGGCGAGGCCAGGCAAUCUCCUUCCCUCCCGCCCUUCUUCCCUUCAUCCACCUUAGCCACGAGAGCUUGGGGUGCACUCGCUCCAUCCACUUUGGUCCCUCGCAGCUCGUGGCGCGCCGGGUCAGCGUGCCCCACCAGCCAGAAAAGAAGAGUCAGAUCUGCCCUUGUUGAAAUAGCUUUGAAAUCUUCCAUCCAUUUUGUUCGGAUGGAAUGAAAUGAAGUUGGUGACUGGUUUGGAGCAGUGGCAGUAGUUUGAGGUAGGGAGGCCCUUUUAGCUGUCUCUUGCUAUUUCUUUCCUUUUACUUCUCCUCUUU